GGUAGUAGCAAAUAUUCAAAUGAGAACUUUGAAGGCCGAAGAGGAGAAAGGUUCCAUGUGAACGGCACUUGCAUAUGGGUAAGCCGAUCCUAAAGGACGGGGUAACCCCAGCACAGAGCGCGACCACGUGCGUGUCCCGAAAGGGAAUCGGGUUAAGAUUUCCCGAGCCGGGACAUGGUGGUUGAUGGUGACGUUAGGAAGUCCGGAGAUGCCGGCGGGGGCCUUGGGAAGAGUUAUCUUUUCUACUUAACGACCCACCAACCCUGGAAACGGUUCAGCCGGAGGUAGGGUCCAGUGGCCGGAAGAGCACCGCACAUCGCGCGGUGUCCGAUGAGUCCCCGGCGGCCCUUGAAAAUCCGGAGGACCGAGUACCAUCCACGCCCGGUCGUACUCAAAACCGCAUCAGGUCUCCAAGGUGAACAGCCUCUGGCC
rnacentral:rRNA from 1 species